rnacentral:rRNA from 1 species
CAGUCGCCGCGGGAAAACAGAGGGUGCAAGCGUUAAUCGGAAUUACUGGGCGUAAAGCGCGCGUAGGUGGUUUGUUAAGUUGGAUGUGAAAUCCCCGGGCUCAACCUGGGAACUGCAUCCAAAACUGGCAAGCUAGAGUAUGGUAGAGGGUGGUGGAAUUUCCUGUGUAGCGGUGAAAUGCGUAGAUAUAGGAAGGAACACCAGUGGCGAAGGCGACCACCUGGACUGAUACUGACACUGAGGUGCGAAAGCGUGGGGAGCAAACAGGAUUAGAUACCCCAGUAGUCCCUGUCUCUUAUAC